GGGUCCAUAUCUCACUGGUAGAGCAAUUGACUGCAGAUCAAUAGGUCACCGGUUCAAACCCGGUUGGAAAAA
rnacentral:tRNA from 1 species